rnacentral:rRNA from 1 species
UACGUAUGGAGCAAGCGUUAUCCGGAUUUAUUGGGCGUAAAGGGAACGCAGGCGGUCUUUUAAGUCUGAUGUGAAAGCCUUCGGCUUAACCGGAGUAGUGCAUUGGAAACUGGGAGACUUGAGUGCAGAAGAGGAGAGUGGAACUCCAUGUGUAGCGGUGAAAUGCGUAGAUAUAUGGAAGAACACCAGUGGCGAAAGCGGCUCUCUGGUCUGUAACUGACGCUGAGGUUCGAAAGCGUGGGUAGCAAACAGG